rnacentral:rRNA from 1 species
GAUGAACGCUGGCGGCGUGCCUAAUACAUGCAAGUCGAGCGAACGGACGAGAAGCUUGCUUCUCUGAUGUUAGCGGCGGACGGGUGAGUAACACGUGGAUAACCUACCUAUAAGACUGGGAUAACUUCGGGAAACCGGAGCUAAUACCGGAUAAUAUUUUGAACCUCAUUGUUCAAAAGUUAAAGACGGUCUUGCUGUCACUUAUAGAUGGAUCCGCGCUGCAUUAGCUAGUUGGUAAGGUAACGGCUUACCAAGGCAACGAUGCAUAGCCGACCUGAGAGGGUGAUCGGCCACACUGGAACUGAGACACGGUCCAGACUCCUACGGUAGGAAGCAGUAGGGAAUCUUCCGCAAUGGGCGAAAGCCUGACGGAGCAACGCCGCGUGAGUGAUGAAGGUCUUCGGAUCGUAAAACUCUGUUAUUAGGGAAGAACAUAUGUGUAAGUAACUGUGCACAUCUUGACGGUACCUAAUCAGAAAGCCACGGCUAACUACGUG